CACACUCAGUUCCUUGUACUUAAAACAUUGUUUAUUUACUAGAUUAGAAUUUUAAUGAUCAAAUUAAUAGUUUAUUCAAGUCUUAAAGAUACUGUAUUAUGUCAAAUUAUAACACGCACACAUGCCAGCCCCAGGGCAUAGGUAUAUAAAUAAAACAAUAAAAUCUCCAUAUCUGACUCAUCUGGCUCUGACUGAUUUUUAUAAUGUGGUUCUGACUCACUUUUUAAAGAAUCUUCUUGGCCAAGUGAGAAUAAAAUUCCUUCACAAAGAUGAUUACGUUGUUGUUCAGAAGGUAUAUGAAAGUGGCCAUUAGGGGGUGAUGUUCCUAGAACAAAAUUGCCCCAAAUGAGUAAAAUGGUUUCUGUGCAUUUUUCUCAUAUUUUCAUCCCAGUACAUUAGUUUUAUCUUCAUUUUAUUCAUUUGAAUCAUGCGCAGCCAUACCAGUGUAAGAACAGAAGUUACCUCUCUUCAACUUAACGUAGCAUGAAGUAAAAAGAAAAGUCAUAUGAGAAAAAGGAAAUGGAUAGAUGUUAUUUUGCAUAAAGCCUGCACUAAGUUAAAAGCUAAACCAGGAAGUUACCACCACUAUGCUAGAUGGAAGCGCUUCAGUGGCAUGUGCUUGAUUUUGAGAAAAUCAGAACUCUUCAGAUUAGUACUAGGAGUACUUACCAUGUUUAUUUUAUGCUUACCUGAAUUUUUCAAAAUCCAUGAAGCUAACACUAUCAUUGUUUCGUGCGUGGAUACCUGUUCAUUAAGUAACACCACUUUUCCACUUUGCACUUUUAAUAAUUCUUGCAAAAGAUCACUGCAACAAAGAAGAGAAAACCAGACUAUCUUACUGAAGACCAUUGUAAAUCAUUCCAGUUUCCAAAAUAUUCCAUGUAUUUGCCAGUCCUCUAGUAGGGAACAACAAUCACAUACUAAAUACUCAGAAUGUGAAUCCAACAGAGAUGUGGAUGUUGAUCAUCAAGGAUCAGGAGUUAUAACUAAAAAAAAUCCAAAAGAAAAAGGCUCAUUGGAAGAGCAAACAGAAGAUGUUAUUUAUUUUUACAAAUAUUUUAAUUUCACUAUGCUUCAUGCAAAUGAAGAAGUAGAGGAUAAUAUCUUCUAUAUGCUGGAAAUCCGCAUCGACAACUCUACAGUCAGAGGAAGAAAUGCAGCUGAAGAAUACCUAAAUCACUCCUGUCUAGCAGCAAUGAUCGACGACCAAAAUGACUGCAUAAAUAUUUCACUGCAACUGGAGUCUUACGUGGAAUAUCCAAUGUGUAUGGCGAAGAUCAUUUGGCUCAGUAUGAUUCUAGUCAUCAUUGUGUUUACUAUUUCAAUCGUCAUCUACAAAAUAGUUCAUGAAAAUGGACAAAACUAUUGUAAACACAGAGGAGCAGCAGCAGUUUAUACUAUUCAAAGCAAAAAAGAUUCCAGACAUGCAAUAACAACCGUUUCUGCUACUAAAAUUCAUCUUUUUCCUGUGAAGACCAACGAACAACAGGUUCCACUUACUGCACAGGCCAGGAAGGUACUGCCCAUAAUUCCUGAACAAGAACAUUGUCAUCUGAGUGCAUCAGCUGUAGAAGAACAUCAAGUCCUAGACUUCAGCGUUGUGCUGACAUUUGUUUCUGACAAGAGCAGAAGAAAGAAGCAUUUUUCAGAUGAUCUCUGAAGAGAAUCAUGUGUUUGAAAUAAAUAGUGAGCUGGUAAAAUUCACAAAAUAAAAGAAAAUAAUUGCUCUGUUAUUACACCAGCCAGCAUAAGUGAUAAGAAGUUGGUUUUAGCUUGGAACUAAAACUAGUACGCCACUUCUAACUUUCUUCAGCCGUUGUACUCCAAUAAUUGUUUCAGGAAGUCCAGAUGUAAUUAAACAAGUUGGAAGAGAAAUGUACAGUAAGAGAUUCCUUUUUCUGGCAAUACUUGCAAUGCCUAGAAGCUCAAAUUACUCAAAUGAGUGAUACAGACUAAUUUAUCAGUUGCAUACUUGGGGUUAUGGCUAUUUGCAUAGAUUUAUAUUACUGCACAUGGUGAGUUUUUUAGGUUAAAAGCAUAAGAAGUCAUUCUCUACAUAUAUUUAAAUUGGAUGGAGUUAUAUUGAAAAUGCAGUAUUGUAUCAUACUAUCUUUUUAAUGUGUUAAAAAAGUUGAUGUAUGGUGUGGUUUUGUGCCUCACAUGGACCCAUAAACAGUGAGGUUGUAUGUUGACAGCAGACCUAAAGAAGCAAUUUGGAACAGCAUUGUUGGCAAAAGGUGAGGUACUUUCACAGUAAAUUAAUAAUUGAGCUAGGCUAUUGUUUGGCUUCUGAGAGAGACUAGCUGUGUUACGGGACAGCAUAAUGUCAUAAUUAAAAAUGCUGACAACUUUUUAAUGGCACCCAUCCACAGAUCUUACGAUGACUUGUAAAGAUGGAAAGUUGGCAUUGUUACCAUCCUAAAAUGAGGCUAUCAGGAGGCAGAGAAAGAUAACUUGACUUGGGAAGUCAGUGACAUAGGCAACAGCAGUUCUCAGAUCACCUGUCUUCAUCUGUUUGCCGUUUGGAUGUCAUGAGCUUUCUAAGAGCCCCAUCAACCUUUCCGUAGGACACUUUCCUUUCUUCAGGGACUUCUCCCACCCACUUCAGUACAAGCCCUCUUCUUUUUCUGAUAGGUGUCAACUAUCUUGCGGGUAAUAUCUUCCUGGGCCCCUGUCUGCCAUGUACCUGCCCACCUUAAUUGUUCCCUGUGAAGAGAGGCAGCAUUUACUCUUGGGUUAGAAAUAGAUAUUUCUGAGGUUGCAAUAGCAUGUAUUACUGAAGGGGUGGGUGCUCAGUAGUGUUCAGUGCCUUCAUUUAUCCUGUAUAGUGGUUGAGCAGUAGCAAACUAUGUCUGUCCAGGAUAUUGGCUUCACCAAAAAUCUUUUAGAAGCAGGAAGCAAAAUGCUGUGCAUUUGCUUGUGUGCUCCAUUUCCAUGCAAAUUUAACUUCUGUGUUCCUGGAAGUAAGAGUAACCAUUCAGACUGACCUGCUAGUACUCCUUAAGCUGUUAUUGUAUUGCAUGUUAUGUAUUAAAGGGUAAAAAGGAGAGAUGGAGCAGCUUUGCAGAUUUUUUGAUUGCUCUGUGAGGUAAUAUAUGAAAUUCAGGACAUUCUGGGAUGAAGUAAUCCAUUUGCUUAACUCUGGGCCUGUCACUGAAAGAUUGGCUGUCCUGAGAAACCCCAAAUAUCUUGUUCCAGUGCUGUGCUGUACUGAAGCAGGCUUGUUUUCCUGGGCAUAACACAAUCUUCCUGUAAGAACCACUGCUGGCAGUGAGGUGAAAUGGAUGUGAUGCUUGGGAUUAAUGCUUGAUAGUAUUUUAAUGUUACGUGACAUUGUGUGGAAAGAUUAUUAAAGGGUGUGGCUGGAGAAGGACUAACUUGUGCCUGGGGAGACAAGAACUUAGAUCUAGAUCUUGCCUUUUGUUGCAACUGGGUUUUGAAUAAUAUUUCUCACAGGAAUACUGUCUCGAAGCUAAAUACUCUGCAGAACCAACAAACGCACUUCCUGUUUAGUCUUGCUUCAUUUCCUGCAAAGAAACACUUCCCCCUUCCUCCAAAAAGUCUAAAAGCAGGCGGACACACCACCUCACGUGUGGGCUGGUCGGCACAAGAGCUCAGUGGCGCCACAUGAAGUACAGUUCCAACUGCAUGAAAGGAGAAACAUAAUACACCACAGAAGAAAGCAUGUCCAUUUCCAGUCUGGGGAGCUCUGUUAUCCGUCUUCUCAUGAGAAUGCCAACUGCGCAGUUUAGUUGAGAAGCUUCAUUUUAUCUAUCAGGACUACCUGGUAUUAAGAAAAUAUGAAUAAUGGACAAACACAUUUUGCUGUAGAAUCAACUUCAGUAGGAAAUUAUAGAUUUCCCAUCUAUUUUCUGUUCAUUCAGGAUUUGAUGCUUAAUCAUAAGGCUGUGAGAUAAUCCUUGCAAUAAUUUAUUUUUCCAGCUGGGAAGAAAUUUAUCUUCUCCACAGGAUAAAAUCCUGAUUGAAGGUAGAAAUGAACCUAUAUUUUCAUGAAAUGAACAUAGUUUUCACCUUUUUAAUGCUCUAGGUGACUAAGAUGCUUAAGAGAGAAUUUCUGGCUGAUGAGGAGAGUGGCCAAAGGAACAGAGAAGGAGGGAGUUCUGCAGUACAUUUUAAUUUCUGCAGUAAACCAUGAAGACAUUCAUAAAUUCUGCAACAUCUUGGUGGAUAAAGAAGAAAAAUGUGGAAAAAAAAUAUACAUUUGGCUUCAAUCCACUAAAUUGUUAUUGUUAUUAUUUUUUUUAUAACUCAUUAAGACACCAAAUGGGUUUUAUACUCUUUGAUAAAUUGCAUUUCCAUCUUUUGUAUUAGCUUAGGUCAUUAGUAUUCAGACUUAUUGUCUCCUGGAACUUUUCCUUACUUUCCAUUUAUUGCUGCUCCUCUGAGUGUAGUGGAGCUGUUUGGGCUGAGCAGGGUCCCAAACUCAUUCGGUGCUAACCCAUUAUUUGUGGGUACAAUCUGACCAUAAAUUACUAGGCAGAGACAGAAAUUGCAGAGCUAGGACUUCAGACUCCCUUGUGCUAAAUCCAUCAGGAUGAACAGAUUGUAAACUGCCCAUUGCAAAUAUGAUAUGCAGCAAUUUAGCAUCAUGUUAAUACUUCAUAACCUCCAUCCCUUACAUUUAUAUAGCUUUUCCCUCCUGAAGCUUUCUGAAAUUGCUUAUCCAGUCAUUACACUGCACCAAGCAGUUCAGAUUUAAUAGGAAUAGUUGUGAACAUUAGCUUCUGAGUGAUUUGAGACCAUAUGGAAUUUUUAAAAUUUAGUUGGAUAAAUUGGAAGCAUUUGUUUCUAUUGUUCGUUACCAUCUUUUAUAAAAAAAACAAACAGACAAGAAAAAUACUGUCUUUCUUGAUUGGGGGGCUUUUGAGGCUUUAUUGCUUGUCUAUGGUAAUAACUUAAGGCUUUUCAGAAAUUCAUUUUCUAAUGCAUCCUAUAAACUUCUCACAUUUUUUAUUAUUAUUAUUUUUCCUUACCUUACUGUAGAACGACACCUUACAGAUUACGGAAGCGAAAUAUCUAUCUCAAACCACUGCAGAAUUGCUAAGGCCAUUUCAGCCAGUGUGUAAAUGCUUCCUUCAAAUGAUGGCACUAUCUAUCAGUCUUCCCCUUCAGUAAUCCAGGGAUCUUGAUAGUAGGGACAGCCCUGCUCCUUGUGACCCCGAUUUAAUUUCCUUCCUCCUGUAAUUUAAUUCUAUUUUUCUUGUUGCCUGUAACUCCCCCUUUUCUUUUCCUUGGAUGGCUGAACUGUCCCUUUAUUACCCCCACUUAUCCCACAGCUUCCCAGGUGUUUGGUCUCACUACCUUGGAAGUUUGCAUCUCCCGAGUUACCUCUGCAAAACACCACCACCAAGUAAAACCAAGAGGCUCUUACAAGCCUUUAAUCUGUUGAGUAGAGCUUACCGUGUCCUGCAAGCAUGAUCCAAGCCACAGGAAAGCACGGCCUCUCAGCCUCUAAUGGGGGCAGCUCCUCCAGCACCAGCUGCCCUGCCUGGUGCCCCUCUGCUGAGCUCACCCCAGUUCACUGACGCAUUUCUUGUACUGGGGAGUCCCAAACCAGAUGCAGUGCUGGAGUCGUGGUCUCAUGCAUGCCCAGGUGGAUAACUGACUCUCUUGACCGACUGGCAGUGCUCCUUUUACUGCAGCUGAGGAGGCUGUCGGCCUGCUUUCUGCCUGGGCACGCUGCUGGCUCACGCCCGACUCACUCCUCACCAUGGCCCCGAGGUCCUUUGUAGCAGAGCUCUCCCUGGUCAGCCUGUCAGAGCAGUGACACCGUUCUUUCACACCAUUCAUGAAGAAGUGUGAUUCUGGGAUGUAUGUAUACAAGUUCCCUUCAUUUCCCCUCCCUGUUGGCAAGGUCCUGCUGUUAAGUCUCCUUUUUACAAGGGUCUGUCUUACUUUUUUUUUUUUUAACUUCUGCAUUAUUGCACUGUCACGGAAGAAAUACUCUUUCACUCCCUGGGUAAAAUAUUUGAAAGGCAGAGCAAAUGGCUAGUGCUUGUUCCUGAGUCUGCUAGAGCAGCUGCUCGAGAGUCUGUAAGAGAAGCCGUGAAAAGGAGAUCAAAGUGGGGAGAGUAGUAAGUUCUUAGCAGAUCUGUGCUCAGAGACUUUUGGGGUACAGGUAAUAAAGGGAGAAUGAGCUCUGCAGAUCUAGUGUGAUCAAUUUUGCUGUCUUCUUUCCUCUCAGUUUUACCUCUUUGAAUGUUCUUAUCUUUGCCUCACUUCCUUCAACUUCAUGCAGAUUUUUCUUUUACUUCAGAAGUGCUGUUAUUCCAGUUCUGCUGGAACUAAUCAGAUGUCAUUUCUUGUUUAUUUUGAACAAUGCUGAAAAAUUCUUUGAAAAAGUCUUUUCUUUAAUCCAACCUUGAAAAUUGUUCCUAUUUCCAGAGAGUAUGUCAUUGCUGGUUUUUUUUGUGCCUUUGAAAAAUCAUCUUCCCUCUCCUAUCUGUUUAAGACAGCUCAACUUUUGACAUUUUAUUUUCUGUUUUCUUAAUUCCAAAGCUGCACACCAUCAUCAAUAGACUUCUAGAAAUACUGACUGUUGUGAAUGCUGGGGUAGGUGUCCAAGCAUGGAGAACGUACAGGUUGCACAAUAAAAGCAGCUGUUUGUGUCCUCAUAGUCUCAGCAACAAAGGUUGACCUGAGCCAGAAAAAAAAAAAUGUUUAAAGUCCAGAGGGCUUUCCAGUCAGACUGUAGGAAUCUCAAAAGUAGGUCAGGCUGGCCGAUGGUGUCACUUUAAGCCUUGCUCUGAGAUGGCUUUUAAAAGAACUUGGGAAAGCCAUUUUCCACUCUUUACACUCUUUUGAGUCAAACUGAAAGGACAGGGCUGUCAUUUGAGAUAGAAGUGGAACGUCUCAAAGAUAAUCCUAUGAGCAGAGUGACUGCUUGUAUGCUAAAAAACACUCCUGUGAUUCAGAAAAAAAGGUGAAAAUCUGUAUUUGUCACUCAAAAUGCUGUGGGGUUUCAGACUCAUUGAUGUUGUUAUGCAUCCUGACCGGUGGUGACACUGGAAACAUCAUUAAAAAACACCUCAUCUUGUGAUGGCUGUAAUUUUGUAUUGUCUGCUUAGGGCACAUUGUAGAGAAAGAUCUUCAUGGCUUCAAUGGAUGAUCUAAGCAACAUGAAAGAAACGGGAGAGACAGUUCUUUUGUUUAGCUGUCUGAGGCAGUGGAUGCAGGAGUGUUGGAGCAAAUCAUAGGGAAGAGAUGUUUACACAUGAAUAGACUACACCCUGAAAAGCAGCAAAGAAAUUACAGCUUGCUUUGUUUGCCAAAAAAAAUGCAAAUACCUUUAAUAUAUGAAUACAAUAAGUGACCUGUCUCAUAGUUUACUUCACUGAUGACGUAUGACAGUGGAUUAUUUGUGAGUCUGUAGGUGUGCAGACACUGCUUUAAGUUUCACCUUGACACAUUUCUCAACUUUGCGUGCUCAAAAGCCUGCCUCAGCCAAAGCUCUCUUCUCUGCAUACAAAAGGGUACUCAAAAGUGAGAAAAUUGUUAUGAAAAACACAUCUGCUCAAGAUAACAGGUAAUUUCACAAUUGAAGUUAUUUUUUUUAAAUAAGUACCUAAAACCUAGUAGUUUGACAAAUGCCAGAGCACACUCAGUGUACUGACCUGGAAAAAGGUGGUGAUGAAAGAAGGAACAGUCAGUCUCCCUUAAAAGUUUAAGGCUUGCAUCUGUCUUUGCCAGACUCUCAAUAAAAUCACUCAUUCCAAACGUAAAUCACAAAAUCAGAAACUUCACUGAGUACAUCUACCCAUCACAUUAUUCAUAACAUUAUUUUUUAGCACACUGCCCCAGUUCAACAUCUCAAAUGAUUUAUUUGACUGAUGGAAAAAUACAAACCAGUGUAAACAAAAUAUUCUGGUUACAUCUACACAGUACUCUUCUACUGAAAUAUUACUUACCUAAAAUUGAUUUAAAGAUUGUGCAUUCAGUUUUCCUGGGAUAAAUCUUUGAUCAGAUGGAGUAUCCCUAUGCUCCUGUUUGCCCCUGUUUCUCUUCCUACAUUGUACGGAUGUGAAUACUCAAUUCUACGUGUUAUUUUUUAUAACUUCUUUUACUUUAAGGAAGGUACUUUAAUCAAUACAUACAUAAUUUAAGGAAGACAGACCUCUCCUAAGGAAUAUGUCAGACAAGCAAUCCUUGUCUUAAGAACGUCCCUCAAUGAUUUCAAACACGAUCCCCUGAGGCUUCUAAUACUGUAUUGUUCAGCCUCUACUAAAAAGCACCACUAUUAGUUAUCACAUUUUUCUGACAGGUUUAACACUAUAUAGUCUGCACCGCAUUUCAGAGAAAAAAAAAAAACAUAAGAAAAAGUUACUAAAAUCAUUUAUGUCAGAAAACAUGAACUUGGCAUAGGAGCAAUAUAAAAGAGCUAUUGCUAUGUUCUUUGGAUGAUUCCCUGGGCAGUAAUACCACACAUACAGGUACCUGAUGUAGAGCUCUAUUCCAACGUGGGCAGAAAGGCUUCUUGACAAAAAGUUAUGAUCAAAUUAAAGCAAAAACUCCAACAUGUAAUGAUUGAUAGUCGUAAGCACUAGACUUUCUUAUCAGUCCUUGUUCGAAAAAUAAACAAGGUUUUAACCACAUAUAUUAUUCUGCUUGCCAGUGUAGAACAACAGAAAGAAAGCUUUAAACAAACAGGACUUUUUACAAGCCAUUCAAUGUUUAAACUGGGGUCCAGAUCCACAACUGAAAACUGCUCAUGGCCAAGCACAUGGAAAAAGCACAUGGUCUUCAGAAAUCCACACUAAGGAGUUGUUCUUCUGGGCCAAGUGUAUAUAGAGGAAUAACCCCUGGUCAAGGAGGACUCGUGCAUGUGCACAUCUCUUCCAGUAGCCAGAAAGGACUACUAUAGAAGAGUACAUUUAUUCCCAAAGUGUAGAAGCACUGGGUAAGAAAAAAUCUUUCAUUUGAAAAUGUGCUUUCAGAAAUAAAGCCAUUUCAGAUGGAAGUGGCACAGAUAUAAUGCCUAGUGGGGGCUGUAUCCUAUCUUUCAGCUAGCGAGUCUGCUUGCCAGUUACAAUUCCUAGUGUUCUUUUUUUUACCAUGUUGUAGUACUGUUAGCUGUUCAGUAUGACGUAAAUACUAGUGAAUGCCAAGCUUUCUUUGCCUUUUCAGCUGCCAAGGGGCUUGCUUAUUUUGGUUCCCAGUACUUUUAUUAAACAUUCUGUGCAAGUGGAUUUGAGGACUGUACCCUUUCUAUUUGCCCAGAAAGAAAUCUCUGAUUCCUAAAAUUACAGGGUGGCAGAAAAUACAUUUUGAAUAACAAACUGUAUUGCAGGAAUAGUGAAAAUUUCACCUUCUAAUAUCAAAAGAUGGAAAAGUAACAGUGCAUGUGACUGCACAACAGGGAUCAUAACAGCAUGUGAUAUAGACAGACCUUUCUGUCACUGCUUAUGGACCCACAGAAGUUACCAUAUGCAAAGCAGAUACAUGGUUUUUCAUUUCUAGCAGACAGGAAAGUAUUUCCUCAUGUUCUAUUCCCUUAUUUUUACAAUGUAUGAACUAUGCUUCUAUGAUUAAACAUAUUCAGAUGUUAGCUACAAUUAAAAACAUUUAAAUGCGAUUUGUGAGUGUAUCAAGAG